GGAGGAGGAAAAAAAGGAGGAAAUCGUGGUGGUAGAGGUGGAGGAGGCGGAGGAGGAGGAGAAAGGGGAAGGAAGCGGAGAGUGGAAGGCGGGCAGGAUGAGAAGGGCGGCAGUGGUGGUGUGUCUGGUGUCCGUGGUCGCCACCCUCACCCUCGCCCCGCCUGGCAGUCAGUACCCCCGCAAACAGGCCAAGCAGCGCCAUCCCCAGCCAUGGCAGCGCUCGCAACACCCGACGCGGAAGUCCAGCCCGCAGCUCACCACGCCGCGGGACGGACUCAAGCCGGGUGACAAGAAGAACCUGUCCAUAGGCGUGGUCUUGCCGCACUCCACCUUCCAGCGGCGGCGCUACGAGAAGGCCAUCAAGGAGGCGCUCUUCAACAUGCAGCGGGACCCCAUCUUGCACGAGACCUUCCGCCACUACCACUUCACCUACGACGAAGUGGUCUUAAGCACCAUGCACCAUUCCUCCAGCCCCACCAAGAUCCUGGAAACAUUGUGUGACAGUUUCCUCCCGAGCAACGUGUCCGCCAUCCUAUAUCUCUUCAACUCGGAAACCUAUGGACGAUCAACAGCCUCCGUGCAGUACUUCUUCCAGCUGGCCGGCUACCUAGGGAUCCCUGUCAUAGCUUGGAACGCCGACAACUCUGGCCUGGAGCGGGAUCGGCGCACGUCCAGCCCGCAGCUCCAGUUGGCGCCCUCCAUCGAGCACCAGGCAGCGGCGAUGCUAUCCAUACUGCAGCGUUACUCGUGGCCAAAGUUCGCUGUGGUGACUUCCCUUAUCGCAGGGCACAACGACUUCAUCCAGGCCCUGCGUGACCUGAUUCUGGAGCUCCCUGCCAAGAGGUCAGGUCAGGAGUUCACCAUCACCAACACAGUGCGCGUGAGUGACCCGGAGAUAGACCUGAGGGAGUUGGUGAGUUCAGAGGCGCGUAUCCUUUUUCUGUACUCCACUCGCCAGGAGGCCGCCGCCAUCAUGAGCAGCGCGCAGAGACUAGGCCUGAAUGGCACCAACUACCUGUGGAUCGUGACCCAGAGUGUGAUCCAGAGCAACGCUGACGCACCGGGAGAGUUUCCUGUCGGGAUGUUAGGUGUGCAUUUCAAGACAACGGAGGAGGCACUUAUAGAGGAGAUCAAGAACGCAAUGCUGGUGUUCGGGUGGGGACUGCAUGGCCACGUAAAAGAUGAAAUGAGUAGAAAUGUGGUGCCCAGUCUCGCCCCCGCCCUCUCUUGUGACACCGGGGAUGCUAGAUGGAGAGGAGGUGAUAAAUUCUACAGGUUUCUCAAGAACGUGAGCCUGCAGGCAGACAACAAGCCGGCCACGCCCAAGCUGGAGUUCAACAAUGACGGGACGAGACGCGCCGUUGCUCUCCGCAUCAUGAACCUGCGGCCAGAUGUCUCCAGGAAGCUUACUUGGGAAGAGAUCGGAGUGUGGCGGUCAGGCAAGGAGCAGGCAGGCUCACUGGAGGUCAAGGACAUAGUGUGGCCCGGAUACUCCCACGUUCCCCCCAAUGGCAUCCCAGAAAAGUUUCAUCUCAAGAUCACCUUCAUGGAGGAGCCGCCCUUCAUCAACAUGGAUCCGCCAAACCCAGAGACAGGAAUGUGCACCGCUAACAAGGGCGUCCAUUGCAGGAUUGCCUCAGACGAGAUGAUGCAAGAAGUCAACGUGAGCUGGGCAAUGCGAAACUCAAGCUACUUUCGCUGCUGUUCCGGAUUUUGCAUCGACUUGCUGGUAAAGUUCUCUCAGGAUCUUGGCUUCUCCUACGACUUCUUCAGGGUAGAGGACGGCUUCUGGGGCGCUAUUGUGAACGGGAAGUGGACGGGUUUGCCAGGAGCCAUCAUCAACGGGAAGGCGGAUAUGAUUAUGACGUCUAUCAAGAUCAACUCAGAGAGGGAGGAGGUGCUGGACUUCACGGUGCCCUUCCUCGACACUGGCAUCGCAAUCGUGGUGGCCAAGCGGACUGGUAUUAUCUCCCCGACGGCUUUCUUGGAGCCUUUCGACACCGCCUCGUGGAUGUUGGUGGCGCUGGUGGCGAUACAAGUGGCCGCGGUGUCAAUCUUCCUCUUUGAGUGGCUCAGUCCUUCAGGAUACAACAUGAAGCUCCAGCCAACAGCCAGCCACCGCUUCUCUCUGUGCCGCACUCUCUGGAUGGUGUGGGCUAUUCUGUUCCAGGCUGCCGUCAAUGUGGACUGUCCCCGCGGCUACACGGCCAGGUUCAUGGGUAACGUGUGGGCGAUGUUUGCUCUGAUCUUCCUGGCUAUCUACACCGCCAACCUCGCUGCCUUCAUGAUCACCCGCGAGGAGUUUUAUGACCUGUCUGGUAUUGAGGACAAGAGGCUGCAGAACCCAACCUCCAUGAAGCCUCCCUUUAAGUUCGCCACUACCCUGCACGGCAACACAGACGUGCUCAUGAAGAAAUCUUUCCCUGUGAUGCACGCCUACAUGCGCCAGUUCAACCAAACCAGCCCGGUGGAGGGAGUGCGGGCCGUCAAGAAGGGGAACCUGGACGCCUUCCUGUACGACGCCACGGUCAUGGAGUACCUGGUGGGGCAGGAUGACGAGUGCCGCCUCCUCACCGUGGGUUCCUGGUACGCCCUCACUGGCUAUGGCGUCGCCUUUGCCAGGAAGUCCAAGUACCUCGAGAUGUUCAACGAGCUCAUCAUGAAGUACAGAGAAAACGGGGAUCUAGAGAGGAUAGCACGGUUCUGGUUCACCGGAGCCUGCAGACCGAACAAGCAACAGAAGUCAUCGAGCAAACCAUUAGCGCUGGAGCAGUUCAUGUCUACCUUCCUCUUACUCGGGUGUGGCAUUCUACUAGCGCUCCUCCUGCUUGGGUUCGAACACAUCUACUUCAAGUACUUCCGUCAGUACGUGGCCAAAUCCGAGAAGGGAAGCUGCUGUUCUCUUCUCAGUAUGAGCAUGGGCAAGUCUCUGAGCCUGCGGGGGGCGGUGCAAGAGGCGCAGGACGUACUGAGGACCCACCGCUGCCAGGAUCCGCUGUGCGACACCCACCUGUGGCGCGUGAAGCACGAGCUGGACAUGGCACGCCUGCGCAUCCACCACUUAGAGCGCCAGAUGGUCACUCACGGACUCAGACCAGCCGCCAAUGUCUCCUUGCAGGGAAGGUUCCACCCCAGCGACGCCUGACCCAAGCAAACCGAGGGAGGAGACGCGGAACCACGUGAUUGCCAACGAACCAAUCAGGGGUCCGCUCCUCGCCGCCAGUGGCAGCACGAGACUUCGGAGACGAGAAGUGGCGGAGUUGGAAACCGUUCUUUGAGGUCCACACAAGACCUGGUGGCCUGGCCGACUACCACCCCGAAGGUUAAGUACUACAGGCUCAAGGUCUGAGUCACGCACUG
rnacentral:misc_RNA from 1 species